ensembl:lncRNA
UGCAAUUAAAUAGUGGCUGUAUAAUGGAAUGACUACAUAAAUGGGAGCAUUGCUCUGGCUGAAAGAGACAAAGAUGGCACGUGAGGAUGGAGUAUGCCAAGAGUUCUCUCCUUUUACCUGUACUUCCACAACCGGUUGUGGCUCCACUGGUUCCACUGUCUACAGGAGAGCAGAACGAUGUUAAUCUGAACAUGUGCCAUAUAACUAGACCUUCUACUGUAUGGUCUGCAUGGCAAAGCACGGAUAGAUGAUGAAUGAAGAGAUGCAGACCUCAGCCCAUUCUCCACAAGUCAUGCCAUCAGUCCAGCUAAAUGCAGCACUAUCUAAAGUGUGUUGAUUCCACAUUGAGAAAAACAUAAGCAAUAAAACUCUAUGGAAUGUCACAAUAUGUCACUGGAAGUAUCGGGAUAGAUUUACAUUUACAGGAA